UACGAAGGGGGCUAGCGUUGCUCGGAAUCACUGGGCGUAAAGCUCACGUAGGCGGGUCUUUAAGUCAGGGGUGAAAUCCUGGAGCUCAACUCCAGAACUGCCUUUGAUACUGAAGAUCUCGAGUCCGGAAGAGGUGAGUGGAACUCCGAGUGUAGAGGUGAAAUUCGUAGAUAUUCGGAAGAACACCAGUGGCGAAGGCGGCUCACUGGUCCGGUACUGACGCUGAGGUGCGAAAGCGUGGGGAGCAAACAGG
rnacentral:rRNA from 1 species